rnacentral:miRNA from 1 species
AACCUAGGUCAAACCUAGGUCAGACCUAGGUCAGACCUAGGUCAGACCUAGGUCAGACCUAGGUCAGACCUAGGUCAGACCUAGGUCAGACCUAGGUCC